AUGUAUCACAGAAAAUUGCAUCAAGAAAGCAAAGCAACAAAUCUAUUCCAACCUACAAAUCUAUUCAUUGCAAACUCCAUACACUUCACAAAAACCUACAAAUCCUUCAAUAGCCCUUGCAACCGAAAACAACCAUCCAACACCCUCUAUUUCUCUCUACUACAUAACAUAACACUACUAACCCACACUGACCAUACACACAAUAAUGCACCAAAACAUACACAGAGCACAAAACAAAAUCAACAACACCAUAGCAUUUCCAUAUUCAGAGUAAAGAAUAGAUGA